GAAUUUAUAGCCCAGUUGGUCAGGGGGUUUUUCGUUAAGUGGUUUCCUCAUGAGGAGGUCUCAGGUUCGAUUCCUACUAAGUGCA
rnacentral:tRNA from 1 species